rnacentral:misc_RNA from 1 species
UUUCCGUAGGUGAACCCGCGGAAGGAUCAUUAUUGGAACUUCAUCCGGGGCGCCGCGGCCCUCAGCACGGGUGGAAACGCCGUGCUUCGGGGGCCGCGCGUGCACUCGUCCAAACCAAACCCCUGUGAACCUUACGGGAUGGCCCGGGUUAGCGCCCGGUGCCGUUCCGCUUUAUACAAACACUUAUCAAAGGAUGAACUGAAGGCGGUCUGACCGCUGGAUAACAAACUGAAACAACUUUCAACAACGGAUCUCUUGGCUCUC